CAAUAAGUGUUCAAUGGCACUUUAAAAUCCAUUACCCACCUUGUGUGCAAUGUAAGGAGGAGGGGGUUUAUCAGACUUUUUGGUCUGGUUUCCCCUCUUUCAUUAUACAUACCAAUCUUCUCUUGUUGUCUACUUUUUGAGUAUAAAAAACUCGAAUA
rnacentral:misc_RNA from 1 species